rnacentral:misc_RNA from 1 species
UUGAUUCAUUUAUAUGAUUCCACUCAGAAGACAACCCGCAAAAGGGCUUAGCAGAGUUUGGGGGUCCUGCGGCGGCCCGGGACGGCCCGCCGAGGCAACGAUAACGGUAUGUUCACAGUGGUUUGGGAGUUCGAAACUCGGUAAUGAUCCCUCCGCUGGUUCACCAACGGAGA